rnacentral:rRNA from 1 species
GAUGAACGCUGGCGGCGUGCCUAAUACAUGCAAGUCGAGCGAACAGACGAGGAGCUUUCUCCUCUGACGUUAGCGGCGGACGGGUGAGUAACACGCGGAUAACAUACCUAUAAGACUGGGAUAACUUCGGGAAACCCGAGCUAUUACCGGACAAUCUAUUUAACCGCAUGGUUCAAUAGUGAAAGACGGUUUUGCUGACACUUAUAGUAUGAUCGGGGCCGCAUUAGCUAGUUGGUUAGGUAACGGCUUACCAAGGCAACGAGGCGUAGCCGACCUGAGAGGGUGAUCGGCAACACUGGAAUUGAGCAACGGCCCAGACUCUUACGGGGGGAACAAGUGGGGAAUCUCCGGAAAUGGGGGAAAGCCUGACGGAGCAACGCGGGGUGGGUGAUGAGGGUUUUCGGAUCGUAAGACUCGGUUAUUAGGAAGGAAGAAAUGUGUAAGUAACUAGGCACGGCUUGACGGUACCUGAUCAGAAAGCCACGGCUAACUACGUG